rnacentral:rRNA from 1 species
AAAUGAAUAGACGGGGACCCGCACAAGCAGCGGAGCAUGUGGUUUAAUUCGAUGCAACGCGAAGAACCUUACCAGGGCUUGACAUCCCCCGGACCGAACUAGAGAUAGUUCCUUCCCUUCGGGGACUGGGGAGACAGGUGGUGCAUGGUUGUCGUCAGCUCGUGUCGUGAGAUGUUGGGUUAAGUCCCGCAACGAGCGCAACCCUUGUCUUUAGUUGCAAACAGUUAGGCUGUGCACUCUAAAGAGACUGCCGAUGACAAAUCGGAGGAAGGUGGGGAUGACGUCAAAUCAUCAUGCCCUUUAUGUCCUGGGCUACACACGUGCUACAAUGGUCGGUACAACGGGCAGCCACUUAGUGAUAAGGAGCUAAUCCCACAAAACCGAUCCCAGUUCGGAUUGUAGGCUGCAACUCGCCUACAUGAAGCCGGAGUUGCUAGUAAUCGCGGAUCAGAAUGCCGCGGUGAAUGCGUUCCCGGGUCUUGUACACACCGCCCGU